GAUGAACGCUAGCUACAGGCUUAACACAUGCAAGUCGAGGGGUAGCAGGGUAGCAAUACCGCUGACGACCGGCGCACGGGUGAGUAACACGUAUCCAACCUUCCCAUAACUCGGGGAUAGCCUUUCGAAAGAAAGAUUAAUACCCGAUAGUACUUAACAAAGGCAUCUUUGAUAAGUUAAAGAUUUAUUGGUUAUGGAUGGGGAUGCGUUCCAUUAGAGAGUUGGUGAGGUAACGGCUCACCAAGUCUUCGAUGGAUAGGGGUUCUGAGAGGAAGGUCCACCAAAUUGGUACUGAGACACGGACCAAACUCCUACGGGAGGCAGCAGUGAGGAAUAUUGGUCAAUGGGCGAGAGCAUUAACCAGCAAAGUAGCGUGAAGGAUGAAGGUCCUAUGGAUUGUAAACUUCUUUUAUAGUAGAAUAAAGUGAUCCACGUGUGGAUUUUUGUAUGUAUACUAUGAAUAAGGAUCGGCUAACUCCGUGCCAGCAGCCGCCGUAA
rnacentral:rRNA from 1 species